rnacentral:rRNA from 1 species
AUUGAACGCUGGCGGCAGGCUUAACACAUGCAAGUCGAGCGGAGAUGAGGUGCUUGCACCUUAUCUUAGCGGCGGACGGGUGAGUAAUGCUUAGGAAUCUGCCAUUUAGUGGGGGACAACAUUCCGAAAGGAAUGCUAAUACCGCAUACGUCCUACGGGAGAAAGCAGGGGAUCUUCGGACCUUGCGCUAAAUGAUGAGCCUAAGUCGGAUUAGCUAGUUGGUGGGGUAAAGGCCUACCAAGGCGACGAUCUGUAGCGGGUCUGAGAGGAUGAUCCGCCACCAUGGGACUGAGACACGGCCCAGACUCCUACGGGAGGCAGCAGUGGGGAAUAUUGGACAAUGGGCGGAAGCCUGAUCCAGCCAUGUCGCGUGUGUGAAGAAGGCCUUUUGGUUGUAAAGCACUUUAAGCGAGGAGGAGGCUACUAGUACUAAUACUACUGGAUAGUGGACGUUACUCGCAGAAUAAGCACCGGCUAACUCUGUGCCAGCCGCCGCGGUAACAC